CAAAGUUAGUGGCGCACGGGUGAGUAACACGUGGAGAACCUACCCUUUUGCGGGGGAUAACCAUUGGAAACGAUGACUAAUACCGCAUAGAAUCGCAGAUCGCAUGAUCAACGAAGGAAAGACGGCUUCGGCUGUCACAAAAGGAUGGCUCCGCGGUGCAUUAGCUAGAUGGUGGGGUAACGGCCUACCAUGGCAAUGAUGCAUAGCCGACCUGAGAGGGUGAUCGGCCACAUUGGGACUGAGACACGGCCCAAACUCCUACGGGAGGCAGCAGUAGGGAAUCUUCCGCAAUGGGCGCAAGCCUGACGGAGCAACGCCGCGUGUGUGAAGAAGGUCUUCGGAUCGUAAAGCACUGUUGUUAGAGAAGAACGACCGCUAGAGUAACUGUUAGCGGAGUGACGGUAUCUAACCAGAAAGCCACGGCUAACUACGUGCCAGCAGCCGCGGUAAUACGUAGGUGGCAAGCGUUGUCCGGAUUUAUUGGGCGUAAAGGGAGCGCAGGCGGUGACUUAAGUCUGAUGUGAAAGCCCACGGCUCAACCGUGGAGGGUCAUUGGAAACUGGGUCACUUGAGUGCAGAAGAGGAAAGUGGAAUUCCAUGUGUAGCGGUGAAAUGCGUAGAUAUAUGGAGGAACACCAGUGGCGAAGGCGACUUUCUGGUCUGUAACUGACGCUGAGGCUCGAAAGCGUGGGGAGCAAACAGGAUUAGAUACCCUGGUAGUCCACGCCGUAAACGAUGAGUGCUAAGUGUUGGAGGGUUUCCACCCUUCAGUGCUGGAGUUAACGCAAUAAGCACU
rnacentral:rRNA from 1 species